rnacentral:lncRNA from 1 species
GGGACAGGGACGCGAUCUUUGAAUCUUUGUCAGGAAUAGAUAGUUUCUUCUACUUCAUAGGACCUCCAUGUAAUUUUUGAAUUAGAUUGGCAGUAGGCAAAAGAUUAAAAAACAUAUGAAAAUUACCUGAUGGAGUUUUUAGCAUCAAUUACUAGUUGGCUAAUUAUGGAUAGAGUCUCAAUUAUGCUUGAAUAGGUCUAUUCUUUUUUAAAAGCAUGUUCUUGCUUUUAAGUAUUUGCAUAUUAUACAUUUCAUAAUGAAAGAUUUCAGUUCUAAUUAUUGGAAUCUUGAAGGAACCAUAUUAUUUUCCUAAGCUAAGAAGAAUUUUUGAAUUAUGGCAUGGUAAUCUUUUCUGAUAUUGAAGUUUAAGUAUAUUCUCUGGGCAUGUUUAUUUGUUUUUGCUAAUAACUGGUUAGUAUGGUAUCUUAAGUAAAGUUUAUUGAUGUACACUUACAAGCCAAAUUUUGUGUUUGCUUUGUAGUCUCCUAGAACUAUAUUGGAUUGCAGCAUAUUCUGGAAAUGUUGGACUUUAAUUUUAGUAAAUUCUGGUUCAAAAAGUAAAGUAUCACUCAUAACAUGAAAAUUCACCUUUGUGAUUACUGCUGUUGCUAAAGCCAUCAAGUCACUAGGAAUUUACACUAACUGGGAUAUGUAAAUAUAUUGCUGUUCUCCCAAGAAACUUUUUGUCGUGUAUCUAGAUCAUUAAUCCCCUUCUGUAUGGUGUUUUCUAAAUAAAAUAUUUAUGGUUCUCUUUUAGGCUGGCAUGGCUCUAUAUAAGAUUGUCCCCAAAAAUCCCUACUACUUUUGGUCUGUGAUGAGCUUAAUUAUGCAAUCUAUAUCGGCACAGGAUGAAAACCUCUCAAAAAC